rnacentral:rRNA from 1 species
GACGAACGCUGGCGGCGUGCUUAACACAUGCAAGUCGAGCGGUAAGGCCCUUUCGGGGGUACACGAGCGGCGAACGGGUGAGUAACACGUGGGUGACCUGCCCUCAGCUCUGAGAUAAGCCUGGGAAACCGGGUCUAAUACUGGAUAUGACUCCAUGACGCAUGUUGUGGGGUGGAAAGCCUUGUGCGGCUGAGGAUGGGCCCGCGGCCUAUCAGCUUGUUGGUGGGGUGAUGGCCUACCAAGGCGACGACGGGUAGCCGGCCUGAGAGGGCGACCGGCCACACUGGGACUGAGACACGGCCCAGACUCCUACGGGAGGCAGCAGUGGGGAAUCUUGCGCAAUGGGCGAAAGCCUGACGCAGCGACGCCGCGUGAGGGAUGACGGCC